rnacentral:rRNA from 1 species
ACGCUCGACACCUAUGGGAGGCAGCAGUGGGGAAUAUUGCACAAUGGGGGAAACCCUGAUGCAGCGACGCCGCGUGAGCGAAGAAGUAUUUCGGUAUGUAAAGCUCUAUCAGCAGGGAAGAAACUGACGGUACCUGACUAAGAAGCACCGGCUAAAUACGUGCCACAGCCGCGGUAAUCUGAGCGGGCUGGCAAGGC